UCCAUGUUUGCCGUACAGGUCGAGGUGUACGUGUCCUGCAAAAGGAGGGGCGCAGAAAAUACACGGUGACCAUGUCUGCGGUGUUAGGUGGCGACAUGGUGGUCUCCCUGUUUCGGAGUCCACAUGGUGGAGAUGUGCCGUCAAAAACCUCCUCUCUCACCUUCGCCUCUGUGACUGAUUUAAACCCCGGAGGAAAAACCUGCAUGAAGCAGCCAGACUAUCAGACUCCAACAACCCCCCACCCCCAAAACCCUCACCCUUCCUCCCUUGACAUGACUCAAAGAGGCCUUCUUCUCCAUGCCAGCUGACGGCAGAAGAGGAAUAAAGCGAGGAGUUAACCGGCAGUGGAGUAAUUAAAGACGUUAACUUAGGAAGAGGAAUUUUUGAUCACACCGCUUGCCUGACUUUUAGGUCAACAUUUCCCGACCCCUCUAUUACUUGUUUGCUGACUCAGCAUGAUGUCGUUCAUUUCAGUCGGUCUCUGAGUACAGUAAAAGUCCAGUUUUGUCCACUCUGA